UUUUGGACAAUGGGCGCAAGCCUGAUCCAGCCAUGCCGCGUGAGUGAAGAAGGCCUUCGGGUUGUAAAGCUCUUUCGGCCGGGACGAAAUCGCGCUGGGUAAUAUCCAGCGUGGAUGACGGUACCGGAAUAAGAAGCACCGGCUAACUACGUGCCAGCAGCCGCGGUAAUACGUAGGGUGCGAGCGUUAAUCGGAAUUACUGGGCGUAAAGCGUGCGCAGGCGGUUUCGUAAGCCAGAUGUGAAAUCCCCGGGCUUAACCUGGGAACUGCAUUUGGGACUGCGAGGCUAGAGUACGGCAGAGGGAGGUGGAAUUCCACGUGUAGCAGUGAAAUGCGUAGAUAUGUGGAGGAACACCGAUGGCGAAGGCAGCCUCCUGGGCUAGCACUGACGCUCAUGCACGAAG
rnacentral:rRNA from 1 species